CCCUUAGAUGUUCUGGGCCGCACGCGCGCUACAAUGAUGAAUUCAACGAGUUUAUAACCUUGGUUGAAAAGCCUGGGUAAUCUUUUGAACUUUCGUCGUGAUGGGGCUAGACCCUUGCAAUUAUUGGUCUCCAACGAGGAAUUCCUAGUAAACGUAGUUCAUCAGACUGCAUCGAUUACGUCCCUGCCCUUUGUACACACCGCCCGUCGCUCCUACCGAUUGAAUGCUCAGGUGAGCCAUUCGGACUUUCAUCAUGCUGGUUUCCAGUUUUGAUGAAGGAAAGUCUUGCGAACCUUAUCAUUUAGAGGAAGGAGAAGUCGUAACA
rnacentral:rRNA from 1 species